UUACAGGUUUCUAUUGUACAAUUUCUCAUUAAAAACUUCCUCAGCAUUUUUGGAGAAGACAUCACUUCCCCCUUGGGGAAGAAAGAACUCAAUGAUUUGUAGAAAUUGAUACUUCAGGUACCUUAAAAAAUUUAGCUGGUUUUGAUGAGAAACAGUCCGUGGGGUUGCCAGGGGUCCUGGCAGAUGCUUAGGCAGUGGCUGUCCUGGAGUCCAAGGCAUGCCCCAAACCCAUUGAUGCAGGACCCAGGACUCCAUCUGCUCAUUUUUCAUAAGGUUGGCUCACAGGUUAUCUGUUGAGAAGGUUAUCUGCUCCUUCUUCACUGUGCUCACUGAAUGAGGACAUUCCAAGAUCCCCGCUCAUCCUAUUUGAACUAUCCUUUUCCUAAUCUCAUCCAUCUAUGUUUGAGACAAUCUUCCCACAUGAUAGAUAUUCUAUCUUCUCAUUUCUUCCAUGUUGCAUUACUAUUUUAUUCAUAAUAAAUGCACAUAUUUUUGGUGUGU